UGUUCUGUAGCUUAGUUGGUUAAAGCGCCGGACUAGUGAUAACGGAGUCGUGGGUUCGAAUCCCACCAAAACAA
rfam:Aedes albopictus isolate Foshan contig59962, whole genome shotgun sequence.